UCAAUAAUCAAUGCUCCACACUUUGAAGUUUCAGGAAAAACCGAAAUACCCAAUUUAUUUUGUUUCUCAUAGAAUUUCUUACAAGAAAUUCCGAAGAUGUCAAAAUUAUGUGCAUUUUUACUCCCCCUGACAAGGAAAAAUAGCACUGAAGUGCUUCAUUUUCUGUAUGCCUUAUUAAGUUGUUUUUUUGCAUUCAUGUCAAUGGAAAGAUAAAUUAGUGUGAAAAUCUCACUCGAGUUUUGCCAAAACAGUUCUUAUUAAAAAAAAAAAAAAAAAAAAAAAAAAAAAUCUUACCAUCGAAUGGCGCUUGAGAAACUUUGUCUGCUAGUUGAAUAGUUUUCCUCAUAGUUCAAUAACAUUUUGUUUUUAUUUUACAGAUGAAGAUGAAUUAAAUGUGCGAGCGUUCUUCAUUCUUCUCUUGUGCCUCCCUCAAAAAGCCAUUCGAGGAACCAAAAAAAGUUGGAAACCUUCGAAUAAAACAGAGUUGCUCCAGUAUUCUCUUCCUAUUGUGCCUUCGAUCUGAUGUUUUAUAAUUGUAUUUUGACACUGUCCAUUGUCUGCGUGUACUUCAGCUUAACUUGCCUUUUGAGUCAAGAUCUCCAUUGAGUAUAACUUGUCUUGAAAUAUGUUCUGCAAAAAAUUAACCACUAAGAUCCUAUUUCUAAGCCUCAAAAUGAGAGUUAGAACUUUAUUUGCCAUAAGGCUUCUGUAAUUUUUAAACUUCAAAGACAUUUCUCAAAUUAGAAAAAACUGCCCCUGAGCACCUUCCCCUCCAAUACCCUUAUUUGUAACUGAUAUGAAAAUGAUUCUAGAAUUACAUCAGUGAAUAGGUAUCGCUGGUAACAACCAGAAACACAGAUCUCCAUUGGGAUGUUUCAAAAUCUCUGCUGCUUGCUUAUUUUUUAAAAUGAAAACUAAUUAGCAGUAUUGCUUGAAAUUUUUACGAAAUUUUCUUCGCAGGAUGAGAAAAAAUCAGAUUGAGUUUAAAGACAUAAUAAUGAGACAUACUAAUUUACUUUAAAAGAUGUCACGAGAAAUCUGCAACGUCAUGAAUGGAGAUCGGUGUCUUUGAUCUGUCACCCAGCGGUAUUUGAUUUCAGAAAAAAUGUGCAUUGAAUACCUUAAUUGUAUUUAAUUUGAAUAAAUUAUAUUACUAAACAAAACAUAUACUACAAAGCUGAAGUAAAGAAGGGGCAGAGUGUUUGAAAACCUGAAGAAGUAUUGCUUCUUAUGAUUGAAGUUCACAUAAUGAAUGUUUUGAUUCAAUAACAAAUUGAAUCAUGCGAAAUUUUCUGAGAUUCUGCCAAUGGGUUAAUGUUUUGUUGGAUUAUAUUGUUUUUGUCCUGAAAAAUGUCUUCAUGCAAUAAAAAUUAAUUUUUAUCUCUGAAUCAUGUAUUCAUUUCUAUGUAUUGAAAGUUCAAAAUAAAUGAAAUUGUCAAAGCAUAUAUUUGCGCUGUGAAAAUAUUUCAAUCGUAAAAUAGCAGUAUGUAACAGUCAUGAUUUAUAACAUCCAAGUAUCCUUGAAACAUCCGAAAAGUUAUACAAAUUGAUUGUUCAAAAAUUGAAGAUAUUGCAUGAAUAUUCACAUAAUCAUCUAUGCUAUUUUAGGGCAAUGUGAAAAUUUAGUGCAGGUGAUUCUAAAUAACAUAUUUUUUUAUUUCAAAUGAGGUGCGGUGUUGUCACAGGAAUUUCUUUUAGGGAUUUCAGGGAUAAAACGGUUCUGUAACUGCAACAAAAGCUUUCAGUUUUCAGCACAAAACAUUCAGUUAUGGGAACAGAAGGUUCUGUUACUGAGAUAAUACACUUCUGUUGGUGUGAAAAAAUUCUUCAGUUGGAGUAACGAAAGUCCUUUUGUCAGGGUAACAAAAUUCCUGUGGGAGCCGUACGGACAGAGCAGUUCUGUCACAAGUACUCCACCUUUUGUUCCCAUCACUAACCAUUUUUUUCUGUGUAGCACGAGGCAAAUUCCUUAAAAUUUUCGAAGGAAUCUGCACGAACGUUCUCUGUAAAGAAUUAAAUUGCCCGGUUAAAUUAGGGAAUACCUGACGUGGCUUGGUUCCUUGCUAAACGCGGUCCAGUUACGGGCUCCAGGUUCCUUUAAUU
rnacentral:lncRNA from 1 species